rnacentral:rRNA from 1 species
GACGAAGGAUGCAAGCGUUAUCCGGAUUCCUUGGGUUUAAAGGGAGCGUAGGUGGCCUUAUAAGUCAGUGGUGAAAUCUCUGGGCUUAACCCAGAAAUUGCCAUUGAUACUGUAGGGCUUGAGUAUAGAUGCCGUUGGCGGAAUAUGACAUGUAGUGGUGAAAUACAUAGAGAUGUCAUAGAACACCGAUUGCGAAGGCAGCUAACGAAACUAUAACUGACACUGAGGCUCGAAAGUGUGGGGAUCAAACAGG